rnacentral:lncRNA from 1 species
CGUGUCUUAUGGACUCGCAUAUAUUUUUCGCGAGUGAGAGAGUUUCUCUAUCAUUAUAUGGUAACGGGUCGUUCACCACGGUAGUGUUGUAAAUUAUUCUUAUGGAAUCGGGUUGUUCCCCUCGGCAAUAUUGUAAAUUACUCUUAUUGGAUCCAGUCGUUCGCCAUAAAUUACUCUUAUGGAAUCCGGUCAUUCCCCUCAACAGUGUUGUAAAUUACUCUUAUGAAAUUGGGCAGUUCGCCUCGUCAGUACUGUGAAUUA